UGAGCUGGUAUGUAGACGACAUUUGUGAUGUUAGAGAGAUUGUAUAGGUAGAUGGGUGAAUUUAAUUAGAAUAAUAUACUAGUAGACUUCAAGAUAGCUGGAUUGGAGUUGGGGCAAUGGAGUCUAACUGAGUCAUCUAGGAAGCAGUUAAUUGACUCUAUUCAGACUUCUAAUUGGAUGUCAUCAAUGGGUUAUAUUAUUAGAAGCAAGGAUGGGACUGGUUGAACAAUCUUUGUUGGGAUAUUAGAUUAUACACGUCAUAGGCAGCCUAGGAGGUCAAUUAUCCAUACAGAACUGAAGUUAACUGUACUGUAUUGUGAUACAUCGAUCAACUUUGAACAUAUGCCAUCAAUAUGUAUUAGGCAUUUCUCUAUUCGUUAAAUGAAAUGGUUUAAUUGUAUUUGUAUUCUGUAUCUAUAUAUAAUUGUUGGUCAAACGUUUAUGUGAAUUAAGGCUGUAAAUUACUCGGGGCAAGGGCUGCAAUUUUACAGGGUUGGACUUGCUCAUCUUAUACAUGGCAGCAAAGAAGUGACAAAGGAAAAGGAGGAUAUAGAAUGGGAGGUUGUAGAAACAACAAAAGCUAAGCCGAACAGGGCCAGUGGAAGGAGCCUAUAAGCCUAAGAAGCUCACUCUAGAGGACGAACUGAAGAUAUGCUGCAUUCAUAGGUAGAAAAUGCAUCUCUGCUUUGACUGUAAUUUAGCGACUUUCGCAUUCACAGGCUUUGGAGCAAAAGGUUGACAUAAACAGCUACGACUACAAGCCCAUCCCAAGACCCAAUGAGAAAUAAAUAAAUGAGGCUAAGCAUCA